GCACAACGCGAAGAACCUUACCCACCUUUGACAUGUACGGAAUCCUUUAGAGAUAGAGGAGUGCUCGAAAGAGAGCCGUAACACAGGUGCUGCAUGGCUGUCGUCAGCUCGUGUCGUGAGAUGUUGGGUUAAGUCCCGCAACGAGCGCAACCCUUGCCAUUAGUUGCUACGCAAGAGCACUCUAGAGAGACUGCCGGUGACAAACCGGAGGAAGGUGGGGAUGACGUCAAGUCCUCAUGGCCCUUAUGGGUAGGGCUUCACACGCCAUACAAUGGUGCAUACAGAGGGUUGCCAAGCCGCGAGGUGGAGCUAAUCCCAGAAAAUGCAUCGUAGUCCGGAUCGCAGUCUGCAACUCGACUGCGUGAAGUCGGAAUCGCUAGUAAUCGCGAAUCAGAAUGUCGCGGUGAAUACGUU
rnacentral:rRNA from 1 species